GCCCGCCUGGCGGAAUGGUAGACGCAGCGGACUUAAAAUCCGCAGCCGGUAACGGCGUGGGGGUUCAAGUCCCCCGGUGGGCA
rnacentral:tRNA from 1 species